rnacentral:rRNA from 1 species
AUGACUAGACACUUGUGUAGCAAUGGAUUCAUGUUAGGAUAUGAGAGAUGGACUAGCCAUGGGGAGUCUGAUGUACCUGAAAAUGUAGAGCAUGAUAACGUGGGGGGUGGAGAUAGAAUGAAUGACAUGUUAGUUGAUGCAAUUGUUGCUGAAGGAGUUUCUAAAGGUGAUGAGCCAACAAAAGCUGCCAAAAAAUUCUAUGAAAUGUUGAUGGAAGCCGAUAAACCAUUACAUGAGAAGACCACACAAUCACGUCUAUCCAUUGUAGCAAGGCUAAUGACUACUCAAUCACAACAUAACCUGUCAGAAGCUUGUUACAAUGAGAUGAUGACUCUUAUACAUGACAUUGUUGGGGACGAUGCUGCAAAAGAUCUCCCAGCAAACUUCCAUAGGUCCAAGAAGCUUGUGCAUAGUCUAGCAAUGCCUUACAUCAAAAUUCAUGCAUGCCCCAAUAAUUGUAUGAUUUACUAUAAAGAGAAUGAAAAUAAAGAAAAAUGCACUAUCUGCAAAGAACCAAGAUAUGAGGAAACAACCGCAGGAAAUAAAUCUACGAAGAUACCAAGAAAAGUUCUGUACUAUCUCCCAAUUACUCCUAGGCUACAAUGGUUGUACAUGUCACAAAGCACUGCCAAGCACAUGGACUAUCACACAAGGCCUCGUGACAGUGAUGAAGUAAUGGUUCACCCUUCUCAUGGUGAAGCUUGGAAGUAA